rnacentral:tRNA from 1 species
UCCCUGGUGGCUCAGCAGGUUAAGGAUGCAGUGUUAUCACUGCUGUAGCCCAGGUUCAAUCCCUGGCCAUGGAA